UACGUAGGGAGCAAGCGUUGUCCGGAAUCAUUGGGCGUAAAGCGCGCGUAGGUGGCCCUGUAAGUCCGUUGUGAAAGUCAAAGGCUCAACCUUUGAAAGCCGAUGGAUACUGCAGGACUAGAGUACGGAAGAGGCGAGUGGAAUUCCUGGUGUAGCGGUGGAAUGCGCAGAUAUCAGGAGGAACACCAAUAGCGAAGGCAGCUCGCUGGGACGUUACUGACACUGAGGCGCGAAAGCGUGGGGGGCGAACAGG
rnacentral:rRNA from 1 species